GGUCGGGUUGUUUUUAGGGACAUGUCAACGUUGUACAUGUUUGUGUCACUCCUGGGAUUUUAAGACUGCUUGGGUGUGGGGGUUUGGGGAGGGGCCUAGGCCAGGGGCGGGGUGCUGUCAGGGUCAAAUGUGUCCUGAGAAGGAUAGUCACGACACCACCCCUUUGCCAGGGGGAUGGAGGGAUUGUGGGGUGGGGAGGUUGGGGUGGAGGGGUUGGUGGUUGGGGGCGGAGGGGGUGCAGAAUGCCAUCUCGUCUGUCAUCAUUCUGUGUUUUUUCUUCACCAGUGCAUGAACUUUGCAUUUGUUGGUCGGCUGGUCGGUCGGUUGGCAGCUCAUUUGGUCUGUCAGUCGGUUGGUCGGUCAGGCGGUCAGCUGGUCGGUCGGCAGAUCGGCUGGUCGGCUGGUCGGUCGAAAGAUCAGCAGGUCGGCUGGUCGGUUGGUCGAUUGGCAGGUUGGUGGGUUCUGCAGUGAGUCCCUGGCUGGCCUGCAUAUGCAGCACUGCGUGUUAGAAGAGUUUUAAAUUAUUUUAUACCUUUUUAUUUUUUUUGUUUGUUUGUUUUUGUAAUGAUGAUUAUUAAAAUUGUAAAUGUAUGAAGAAACGGAUGUUCCAUGGUGCUGUGCAUCCACGUUCUCCCAAGAUUCCUGUCUGCUCUCCUGGAAAUGCUUUGUUCCCAUGAUGGAGGUCAGUGUGUUAUGAUCCUGUCUCCUGUGUACAGAGUUGUCCUACCAAUAUCCAUGUACAUAAAAUCAACUAAAUAUAUAUAACAAGUAAAGACCACA